GGUGAACGCUGGCGGCGUGCUUAAGACAUGCAAGUCGAACGCAGUCUUCGGACUGAGUGGCGCACGGGUGAGUAACACGUAACUGACCUACCCCCAAGUCGCGAAUAACCAGCCGAAAGGAUGGCUAAUACGUGAUGUGAUGAUCCGCUGUGGCGGAUCAUUAAAGACUUGAUCGCUUGGGGAUGGGGUUGCGUUCCAUCAGCUAGUUGGUAAGGUAAAGGCUUACCAAGGCAACGACGGAUAGCCGGCCUGAGAGGGUGGCCGGCCACAGGGGCACUGAGACACGGGUCCCACUCCUACGGGAGGCAGCAGAUAGGAAUCUUCCACAAUGGGCGCAAGCCUGAUGGAGCGACGCCGCGUGAGGGAUGAAGGUUCUCGGAUCGUAAACCUCUGAACCAACGACGAAAGACCCGACAAGGGAGAUGACGGUAGUUGGGUAAUAGCACCGGCUAACUCCGUGCCAGCCGCCGCCGUAAGAC
rnacentral:rRNA from 1 species